rnacentral:rRNA from 1 species
UACGUAGGGUGCGAGCGGUAAUCGGAAUUACUGGGCGUAAAGCGUGCGCAGGCGGUCUCGUAAGACAGGUGUGAAAUCCCCGGGCUCAACCUGGGAACUGCGCUUGUGACUGCGAGGCUGGAGUGCGGAAGAGGGAGGUGGAAUUCCACGUGUAGCAGUGAAAUGCGUAGAGAUGUGGAGGAACACCGAUGGCGAAGGCAGCCUCCUGGUCCAGCACUGACGCUCAUGCACGAAAGCGUGGGGAGCAAACAGG